GAGCGGCUAGCGCAGUGGUAGCGCAUCCGCUGUGCAAGCGGAAGGCCCCGGGUUCAAUCACCGGUGUGUUCA
rnacentral:tRNA from 1 species